rnacentral:rRNA from 1 species
AGUGAAUGCUAGUAAUAUGCCUAACACAUGCAAGUUGAACGGAUCUGUAGAGAUUAAGUAGCGUACGGGUGAGUAAUGUAGAAGAAUCGACCCAAAAGUUAGGGAUAGUGUUUUAAACAAAUACCUAAUAAUUGUGAAAACAAGAAAGAUUAAUUGCUUUUGGAAGAGCUUCUAUAAGAUUAGGUAGUUGGUAGUGUAAUGGACUACCAAGCCAAAGAUCUUUAGUUGGUCUGAGAGGAUGACCAGCCACACUGGGACUUAAAAAGGCCCAGACUCCCUUGGGAGGCAGCAGUGGGGAAUUUUGGACAAUGGGCGAAAGCUUGAUCCAGCAAUAUUACGUGAGUGAAGAAGAUCAUAUUCGUAAAGCUCUAAAAUCAAGGA